GACGAACGCUGGCGGCGUGCUUAACACAUGCAAGUCGAACGGGCCCGCCCCUGUUUUUGGGGGUGGGUUGAGUGGCGAACGGGUGAGUAUCACGUGAGUAACCUGCCCCCUGCUCCUGGAUAACUGCUUGAAAGGGCGGCUAAUACGGGGUGUGCCGGCUGGUCCGCAUGGGCCUGGUCGGGAUAGUUUCAUCUUCGGGUGUUUCGGUGGGGGAUGGGCUCGCGGCCUAUCAGCUUGUUGGUGGGGUGAUGGCCCACCAAGGCGGUGACGGGUAGCCGGCCUGAGAGGGUGGGCGGCCACACUGGGACUGGGACACGGCCCAGACUCCUGCGGGAGGCAGCAGUGGGGGGUAUUGCACAAUGGGCGGAAGCCUGAUGCAGCGACGUCGCGUGAGGGAUGGAGGCCUUCGGGUUGUGAACCUCUUUCUCCGGUGGUGAAGGCCCUGUCCGUUGCGGCGGGGUUGACGGUAGCCGGGUAUGAAGCGCCGGCUAACUACGUG
rnacentral:rRNA from 1 species